rnacentral:rRNA from 1 species
UACGAAGAGGGCUAGCGUUGCUCGGAAUCACUGGGCGUAAAGCGCACGUAGGCGGAUUGUUAAGUCAGGGGUGAAAUCCUGGAGCUCAACUCCAGAACUGCCUUUGAUACUGAGAAGCUUGAGUCCGGGAGAGGUGAGUGGAACUGCGAGUGUAGAGGUGAAAUUCGUAGAUAUUCGCAAGAACACCAGUGGCGAAGGCGGCUCACUGGCCCGGUACUGACGCUGAGGUGCGAAAGCGUGGGGGAGCAAACAGG